CCGCUUGCGCAUGCGCAAAGUGGGUCUGUGUCGUCAUCGUCAGGCUAGCUUAACCUGGACCGGUUCGGACUGAAUUUGGGGGUAACAGCUCAAACGAGAUUUGGAAGAACAUGACCUGAAAGUCUCCUUCAACGAACUAUGACAAAUAAAAUGAUGGCCAUAAUGAGCCUCAGAGGAAGAAGUGGGAAGGUUGCCUUCAUGAAGACUCAUCUCUACAAGAUAAUCUGUGACGCUGUCUUGAGCUCAUAUGAUAAAACUACAACAAAAGUAGACAAAUACAUGGCCAAAUACUUGAUAUAUGCACCAGAGAGGACGGGUGGCAGUGGCAGAAAGAAGUAACAAGAAGGGAAGAUUUAACCAGCAGUGUUCAAUAUUGCCCAAUG